AACGAACGCUGGCGGCAUGCCUAACACAUGCAAGUCGAACGAAGCCUUCGGGCUUGGUGGCGCACGGGUGCGUCACGCGGGGGAAGCUGCCCCUAGCUUCGGAAUAACAGUUAGAAAUGACUGCUAAUACCGGAUGAAGUCUUCGGACCAAGGAUUUAUCGGCAAGGGAUGAGCCCGCGUAGGCUUAGGUAGUUGGUGGGGUAAAGGCCUACCAAGCCGACGAUCCUUAGCUGGUCUGAGAGGAUGAUCAGCCACACUGGGACUGAGACACGUGCCAGACACCGGCGGGAGGCCGCAGUGGGGAAUAUUGGACACUGGACGCAAGUCUGAUCCAGCAAGGUCGCGUGGGUGAUGAAGGGCUUAGGAUUGUAAAGCGCUUUUACCAGGGAUGAUAAUGCCGGUACCUGGAGAAUAGGCUCCGGCUACCUCCUU
rnacentral:rRNA from 1 species